UACGAAGGGGGGCUAGCGUUGCUCGGAAUCACUGGGCGUAAAGCGCGCGCAGGCGGUCUUUUAAGUCUGAUGUGAAAGCCCACGGCUCAACCGUGGAGGGUCAUUGGAAACUGGGAGACUUGAGUGCAGAAGAGAAGAGUGGAAUUCCACGUGUAGCGGUGAAAUGCGUAGAGAUGUGGAGGAACACCAGUGGCGAAGGCGACUCUUUGGUCUGUAACUGACGCUGAGGCGCGAAAGCGUGGGGAGCAAACAGG
rnacentral:rRNA from 1 species